CGCGCCCCCAGGCGCAGUUCCUGCACCGCCUUGCCCUGGGGAGGCGACCCCGAGUCCCCACGCUGGACACUGGAAAAGGGAGCAUUGCCAGGCCGGUCUGGCCCUGUCUGGUUUCUGUAGCGGGACACAAAGGGCGUGUUUGUCCAAGGGUACAUGAAGAGGAGGGCAUCUUCCUUUGCCACCUGAGUAUUGGGAAGCAAGGAAGCACGACCUGCCUCUGGCUUCCUGCACAAUUGGAAUCCGGAGGAUCUUCAAAGUGGUCUGGCCAGGGAUACCACGUCUGGGCUGAGAAUUGCUGCGCAUAGGUUUGGGGGAAGAAGCAAGGCUGAACUGCUACCCUGGCCAAGAAAAGCAAGCUUCUCACUAUAGCUCUCCUGAUUGGGGAGUGUUCCUAAGAGAGUCAGCCACUGCCAGGAGAUGGGGGUGGCUUAUUUUGAAGACACCAUCCUCACAUGUGUAUCCCUGCAUAUCCAGGCACCCCAGCUAAGUGUUAGUUCCUUGCUCAGAGAACCUGUGAUUGGGAUUCUCUGGGGGGAAAUGUUCCAAACGAAUCAAUUAACACAACUAGUAGAGUUCAAUACCACUGCAUGGAGACCCAGCUCUGUAUCAGUGCAUGAAUGAAUGACUGGUGCUCAUGUCAUUUGCAAAUAAUCAUCAUUACAACAAAGCGGAAAACUUCCCUUACCCAUUUAGCCUGUGUGGCAUGUCAGCAGAGAGUUUCAAUAACCCUCAUGGACCCUUCAAAAUAUUUGCACAUAUAUGUGAAGUGUAAGCUCCAGAUAUUUUAAUAUGGGAGUAUCUAUUUGGACACAAGGUCACCUCUUACACUCAUUAAACCAAUCUGAAUGAGGUCUGAUAACUCUUAAGGGAAAUCAGCACUAGAAAUGCUUUCGACUUUUUGGAGACACGGAUGGAAUAUAUCAGCAGGUUUCACUCAGCGUGAGACAGCACUGAAAACUCCAGAAAGGACAUAGCUCUGUCCCACCCCACCCGCACAGUCUUUCUUCACACAUCUAGGGCUUGUGGUGGGUGUGAAUUUAAUGUAAGAGAUGGGAAGAAAAAAAGGAGAACUUUACAGAAAAAGAAUAUGCUUCUUUUGACCACAUCUGAUCUGAGUCAAUUUUCUGCUGAUUCCUCAUACCCAGUGGGAAUUAAAAAAAAAAAAAAUCCAUAAGCGCCAUGUUGUGUGUUCUAAGUGACAUGAAUUAAGUGAUCCAGAGAUGAGGAGAUAACUCAAUGGAUAAGAGUUCUUACUGCAAAAGCAAGAGGAGCUUAGUUCAAAUCCCCUAAACCUAGGAAAAAGUCCCAGGCAUGGUCAUGUGUCUAUAACCCUACCUUUUGCAGGUACUGGGGUGGAUAUAGGCAGAUAUCUGGGGCUUGAUGGCCAGCCAGCCUAACCAGCUUUACGUUAACGGAGAUACUCUGGCUCAAAAUAAAAAUGGGGAGCAGUAGGGGAAGACUCCUGAAAUCUCCCUCUGGCCUCUACAUGUACACUCACAGGCACAUGUACCUCUCCAUACACAUGCUCACAUACACACACACAACACACACACACACACACACACACACACACACACACACACACACACACACACAUUGAAAAUAGGUUGACAGAACUGUGGGGGCAACUCAGAUGAAAAAAUAUCGAGAUUUUAUAAUUAAUUUGCUUUUCUAAUGCAUUUGGUGCCUUAAUUGAUCUUCAUGCACAAAGCAACAUUCAUACCCCUUCCUAGUUUUGAAAAAUAACCUUGUUUAUCACAAGUGAAUAGAGGGGUGUUUUCUUUAGGAGUUAUGUCAAGAAGGCUUUAUGCUCAGUUUUUUAAAUAUAACAAGGAGAACUCAGAAACUGACAUUAGAACAGCCUUUUCCAGCUCCCUCCUGUUUGACUGCUGUAGGUGACUCUUGAGCCUCAACCUAAGGACAUGGAAUAAUAACGGCCACAUGGUGGGAUAAUGGUAAUUAGCACACAAAAGUUCAGUUAAUUACCAUGAAGGUUAUGACACAGACUGACAGACAGAGUCAAAGUAAACUACAAGCCUUCCACCCCCGGCCAAGAUUCUUUAAAAAAAUAAGACUGUGGGACUCCAGCUGAAUUUAGGCAUAAGGUACAAUUGAAGUCAGUCACCUGUUCUCCCUCCAUUCUUUUCCAUGUUUUUAAAUUUCUUUAUACAAAAUCCAAAUGCAAUGGGUCUAAUGGUCUAUACUUUGAUAAAGUAUGUAUAGUUGAUUUUCAUUGUUCUUGGUGAUUAUAUUUCAUAAUGAUUCUGUAAAUAAUGAAUUGUUCCCAGUAAAAACAGAGACAGGUUUCAGAGACUCUCUGUUAGCAGGAUCUUCAUUAACUAAUCAACACAUCUAAUUUUCUGGGAACUUCUGGUAGAUGAGUUGUUCAGUAUUUGGUAUUGUUUCCUGAUCACUGAACUCAGGUUCACAGCACUGUAGCCUUUGCCUAACAAAGCUUAUUAUCCAGAGUCUAUAUUUUUUGUGUAAAGCAUAGCAGCCUCUUUAGGAACACCAGAAAACACAGUAUGAUAAGGGCAUUUUGAACAGCAAAAUUGCCAAUGAAGUUUCUAAAAUAGCUAGCAAUGCUGCAAAACUGAGACUUCCAGGCAGUAUGGGCUGAUAGGAGAAGGCCACACAUCACCUUGCUUGACCUGGGCCAGGAUCUCUGCCUUGGGAGGUGCAAACUCUGCUCUCUGUGAAUCAUAAGCACCUCGUGUACCUACAGCUGUCAAUGAGAGGCUUAAGUAUUAACCUCUAAGUUUCAGAUAACUGAACAAGUGAGCAACUUUGCAAUUAUGGAAUCUGCAAAUAAUGAGGAUUAACUGUAUCAAUUUUUUUUUCCUUUAAAGGGUGAGGCUCAUUAGCUCACAUGAAUUCAACUAACAUUCAACUCAAUUUACAAUCAUUUAAAAAUAUAUUAUUAUUAGAAAAGAACUUUAUAUAUUUUGCAGUAUGUCUUCGGCCAGCUUUCUCACUUAAAUUAGGUAAUGCAAUUACAUAAGAUUUUUCUUUUUGUCACAUACCACAAUUGCUUCGUGUUUAUUUGAAAAUGAAUAUUUUGUGAUAUUGUCAUCAUCCAUUUUGUUGUACACAAAGUAGAGAUUUUCAAGAACUAAUGCAACGUUACAAAGAAUAAAGAAAAGUUAAUAAAAUGAAGAGUGUGUUUACCCCCUGCCCCACAAACAGAAUUAUCUCAAAUGAGAAAUAAAGAUGUUUUGUUCUAUUAAUAAGACUCUAAAAGUAAGUAGUUUAUAUCUUUGUUCUUUGAAAAUAUUAUUUAAAAUUCAAUGUCUGGGAUCUCAGCCCAUGUUAAAAGACUCAUGAGAUGGCCCCUCAAUGUUUUCUGCCUUAUGGUAGUCAUGUCCUUAUUUAAUUCCUUUGUUCGUAAAGGUUGGCUAGACUUAUUGAUUUACUAUUAUUGAUUUCCAGGAAUGAUGGAUGCCACUUCCUAUAUUAGGUUACAUAGAGACUGUGGGUUUUAUUUGGUACUCUUGGACUCUCUCAUUACACUGUCGCAUGAAAAUACUCUUGAAGCUUGUGGAUAGGCCACAUGGCACAUAUGCAAAUAAAUAAGACCUCUCCUUGAUAAUAUGGAUGAGCUAGGGAAAUUUUCUGAGGCUGCCUAACCAAGUGUUACAUCAUAGAACCUGCCAGCUAGUUUUCUAGUCUCAGUAAAGCCUUGAGACAAAUGAAGCACUGACUGGCAACUUGGUUUCAACUUCAUGAAAGCCUCAGCUGCAAACACCCAAGAGAGCGUUGAAAACUUAUGUAGCUCCUAGUUCAACACCAACAUUAAGCAAUUACCAUUUGUUUUAAGCCCAAGAGUCUGGGGUAAUUUGUUACACAGCGAUGGAUAAUUGAUUAUGCCACAACAUAUACUGAUCUGAGUAAUGGACAUAGAUUUAUGCAUUUUACGAACAAUUUUGAUGAAGAUGUUUGACAGGCUUCUCUCUUUUAGGUCAUGAUAUAGAGAGGUGAGAGGAUUAUGAAACUAUCAGAGAAUAUAUCAAAUCACUUGUUUUCCAAUUUUAUCCCAAACAAAUGACACUUCAAUCAAAGAGUACAAUUUACUAUAUUUAGAAUGAUUUUCAUUGUAUACCUACUGUUUUGAUACCACUUUUUACAUCUGGUGUAUCUAAAUUUUCAUAUCACUAAUUUUCUGUUAUGUGUUUUAAAGUCGCUUCCUAUAUUUGUAGAAUAUACUCCAAAUUACUCAAUUAUUCCCUAUUGUUUGAACAUUUAAACUGUUUAUAGUCUGUCAUGAUAAACAAGUCUUUAAUAAAUAUGCUAAAUUAUAUUUUA